AACGCGAUUAACCUUACCUGGGCUAGAAUGCCUCUGACAACUCCAGAGAUGGAGCCUCUUAGGGAAACUUAUUGCAGAGUGCAAGGUGCUGUCAUGGCUGUCGUCAGCUCGUGUCGUGAGAUGUUGGGUUAAGUCCCGCAACGAGCGCAACCCUUAUCUUUAGUUGCUAGCGGUUCGGCCGAGCACUCUAGAGAGACUGCCGUUGACAAAACGGAGGAAGGUGGGGAUGACGUCAAGUCCUCAUGGCCUUUAUGUCCAGGGCUACACACGUGCUACAAUGGCCGGUACAAAGCGCUGCAAACUCGCAAGAGGGAGCCAAUCGCAAAAAGCCGGUCUCAGUUCGGAUUGGAGUCUGCAACUCGACUCCAUGAAGCUGGAGUCGCUAGUAAUCUGUCUUUUAUCAGCACGCUGCGGUGAAUACGUGUCCCGGGUCUUGUACACACCG
rnacentral:rRNA from 1 species